GCCCUUCUGGUGCUCCGAUCCGGAGUCCCUGGAACCAGCCUCUGGCCCCCUAGAUGUACGGCCGCAGGACCUUUGGUUUGCUGGCAGCUGUGUCUCAGAAAAAGCUGUCUUCAGCAAGGCAGAAGCAGAUAUUUUAACACUCAACUAGGAGCCGCAAAAGAGAAGACAGAAAAAAGAGUCUCUGAAGGUUCGACAGAAGAAGAGGCUGGCAGUGGCUCCUAUUAAUGUUUAUUAAAAGCGGCAAGAUCAUUGAGGUCUCUGGAGUGAAAUCACGGCCAGGUUUUAUGAAAACAGAUCCGAAAAGCUGAGGACUGAUGUGAAACUGUCUGAAAUGGAUGAUUUCUGAAGCAUAUUCACAUUCCUAAAAAGUGUCUUCCCUUCAUUUGUGUUUACCCACUGACUCUCAGCUAGUAAUUCCAGUCUUUAUGCUUGCCAGUUUCUUAGAUGAGUGGGGUGAAGGAGCACAGACUAGCCUCCAAAAAUUCAACUCUAGGCACAUGCAAAUUGGACACAUGCAAGUGGCCAAAAUAAGCUUCCCCUGAUGAGACAAGUGAAUAUGAGCUGCUUAAAAUAUCUCCUUAUUAAAGCCCCUACUAUUUUUAGAAAGGGCAGUAAGGCAUAAAGAUGAUGACCCUCCCACUCACUAAAGUCAGGUCAGGGAGUAAUUCAGCUGUCUCAGAAAUAAAGUAUUUGAAGAGCUAUGUGUAACCCAUGACCUUCAGCCAGGCGGUACCUGAUUCAGUAGUAUGCUAUAGAUAGACAUGAUGAACAUGCUUGAAAUAGUGACACAGUUUGUUUAUGUCAGCUUUUGGAUAGAAUCAUUCACAGGCAUGUUUGGCCUUAAGCUGUGUAACAUUUUAGCUAUUUCAUUAUAAUCAAACACAAAUUCAGACUCUCCACUUGGGAAAAAUGUAAAACAGUUAUCUAGGUGAGCUUUCAACACUCUCCAAUUUACAAUGACAAUUCUGGUUUUUAACACAUCAAUUCUUGAAAGACUCACAAGAUGGUAAACAGUGUUUCUCGUUAUUAGCUGAUGAUGGGAAAUCAACUCUCUCUAGUCAACCUCUAUAAACAAGACUGCUAGGCAUUCUGAAUGGUAUCUAUAGAUUUCUCUCAUUAACUACACAAUCAAGAGAUCAACAUAGCACUUCAGGAGAUGGUUUACUAGAAUGGAACAUAAGCAACAAAUGUGCAUUUCUAGCAUUCCAACUGGCUCACAGCUUUUGGAAAAUUAAAACUCCAUCCCAUUUAAAGGGCCAGUGACAGAGUUCACUCCAACAGGUGUUUAAAAAGGACACCUGCUGGGAUCAGACGCCCACCCCCCCCCCACCCCCGCUCCACCAUGAUAAUAUGUAGGUGUUCAAGAAUUUCCGGCUGUCAAAUUCUUAAUGAGAUUGUUUUUGAAUAAUAUGUGCUUGCUGGAUUUAGAAAUCUCAGAUUGAAGGGGUAAACUCAGACUACUCUGACACCAUUUUAUAUAUUUAAAGUAUGGUGUUAUUAUUUAUAGCUCUUGAAGACGCACCUCCCCGCCAAAUCCUUAUAUUUGGGUUCUGUAAAAUUAGUCUGGAAAUGUCUAAACAAGUCAUCUUCAGCCAUUUGUUGCACAUCAGAACUUCCUGAGCAUCUUUUAGAAACCACUUAAUCUGCGUCCCACCAUAGAUCAAGUUGAUCAGCAAUCUCUGGAAGCAGUAUCACGUAUCUAUACACUUUUACAGCUCCUUGGGUGAUUCUGAUGUACAGUUAAGGGUUGAGAACAAUAGUUCUAACCCCUCUGAAAGCCUCAGGAAGUUCCAGAGCCAUAGAAGAAUUUUGGGUUGGAUUAAAAUGAUCCAAGGAAAUCAGUAGCUGUCCAAUGAGUCUGGAGUGUGAUGCAUUCAUGGCAAAAGUAUUGGGGACUCAUAACUUGGCCUUGACUCCUGCCCCUGUUGUCCUAGACCCAUAGGAAUGAACAAUAGCUCUGUAAUGGCUAACACAGCUGUAAAAAAAAAAAAAAAAAAAGCAACGUUGAUAAAAAAAAGACAGAUGCAGAAUGCAAAACUUUGCUAUUAUUUCUAGGUGAAUUUUUAAAAUACUUCCUAGUUGGGUGAUUUUUAUGGAGUGGUUGGUGAGAUGCCUGGCUCACGGGCCCAGCCGCUCCGCGGCAUGUGGGAUCUUCCCGGACCGGGGCACGAACCUGUGUCCCCUGAAUCGGCAGGGGGACUCUCAACCACUGCGCCACUAGGGAAGCCCCAACCAAGGAAAUGUUGUUGCUUAGAACUUCAUGUCUUUUUUUUUCCUCAUUGAGAUUACUCUUUAGGGAGUCGCUUCAUCACAGAGACUCUGUACACUUUUCCUUUUUGAAUAAAUAGCUUUGUUUUUUAACAUGGAAAUCACCACCCGAAGAGACCUUUGUAAAAAAGCCAAACUAUAGAUGAUUUAGCUUCUGGAGGUAUCUCACCCCUCUAGCUCGUAACUUGGAGGGACGUUUUCAUUCUUUCUUUUUACUCAGGAAUUAUUUGAAAAUAAUUUGAAUCUAUCCGUUAUGUUCUACAUUCUUUAGAGUUGAUAAUUUUGAGUGGGGAAGGAGACAAAAUAAAUUGGUUAAGUAAAUGGCUCUUGUCCUAUAAAA